GACGAACGCUGGCGGCGUGCCUAAUACAUGCAAGUAGAACGCACAGUUUAUACCGUAGCUUGCUACACCAUAGACUGUGAGUUGCGAACGGGUGAGUAACGCGUAGGUAACCUGCCUGGUAGCGGGGGAUAACUAUUGGAAACGAUAGCUAAUACCGCAUAAUAUUAAUUAUUGCAUGAUAAUUAAUUGAAAGGUGCAAUUGCACCACUACCAGAUGGACCUGCGUUGUAUUAGCUAGUAGGUGAGGUAACGGCUCACCUAGCCGACGAUACAUAGCCGACCUGAGAGGGUGAUCGGCCACACUGGGACUGAGACACGGCCCAGACUCCUACGGGAGGCAGCAGUAGGGAAUCUUCGGCAAUGGACGAAAGUCUGACCGAGCAACGCCGCGUGAGUGAAGAAGGUUUUCGGAUCGUAAAGCUCUGUUGUAAGAGAAGAACGGGUGUGAGAGUGGAAAGUUCACACUGUGACGGUAUCGUACCAGAAAGGGACGGCUAACUACGU
rnacentral:rRNA from 1 species